ensembl:snRNA U1 U1 spliceosomal RNA
AUACUUACCUGGCAGGGGAGAUACCGUGAUGAAGAAGGUGGUUCACCCAGGGCGAGGCUUAGCCAUUGCAAUCUGGCUGUGCUGACCCUGCGAAUUCCCCAAAUGUGAGAAUCUUGACUGCAUAAAUUCUGGUAGUGGGGGACUGCAUUCGCGCUCUCCCCUG